UACGGAGGGUCCGAGCGUUAUCCGGAUUUAUUGGGUUUAAAGGGUGCGUAGGCGGCCUAUUAAGUCAGGGGUGAAAGACGGUAGCUCAACUAUCGCAGUGCCUUUGAUACUGAUGGGCUUGAAUACACUAGAGGUAGGCGGAAUGUGACAAGUAGCGGUGAAAUGCAUAGAUAUGUCACAGAACACCGAUUGCGAAGGCAGCUUACUAUGGUGCAAUUGACGCUGAGGCACGAAAGCGUGGGGAUCAAACAGG
rnacentral:rRNA from 1 species